UACAGAGGGUGCAAACGUUGUUCGGAAUUACUGGGCGUAAAGCGCGUGUAGGCUGCUCUGCAAGUCGGGUGUGAAAGCCCUGGGCUCAACCUAGGAAGUGCACUCGAAACUGCGGAGCUCGAGUCCUGGAGAGGAAGGCGGAAUUCUCGGUGUAGAGGUGAAAUUCGUAGAUAUCGAGAGGAACACCGGUGGCGAAGGCGGCCUUCUGGACAGUGACUGACGCUGAGACGCGAAAGCGUGGGGAGCAAACAGG
rnacentral:rRNA from 1 species